rnacentral:rRNA from 1 species
GACGAACGCUGGCGGCAGGCCUAACACAUGCAAGUCGAACGAGCGGCGGACGGGUGAGUAAUGUAUGGGAAUCUGCCUGAUGGAGGGGGAUAACUACUGGAAACGGUAGCUAAUACCGCAUACCAUCAGAUGUGCCCAGAUGGGAUUAGCUUGUUGGUGGGGUAAAGGCUCACCAAGGCGACGAUCCCUAGCUGGUCUGAGAGGAUGACCAGCCACACUGGGACUGAGACACGGUCCAGACUCCUACGGGAGGCAGCAGUGGGGAAUAUUGCACAAUGGGCGCAAGCCUGAUGCAGCCAUGCCGCGUGUAUGAAGAAGGCCUUAGGGUUGUAAAGUACUUUCAGCGGGGAGGCGUUACCCGCAGAAGAAGCACCGGCUAACUCCGUGCCAGCAGCCGCGGUAAUAC